rnacentral:rRNA from 1 species
AUUGAACGCUGGCGGAAUGCUUUACACAUGCAAGUCGAACGGCAGCACGGACUUCGGUCUGGUGGCGAGUGGCGAACGGGUGAGUAAUGUAUCGGAACGUGCCCAGUCGUGGGGGAUAACGUAGUGAAAAUUACGCUAAUACCGCAUACGAUCUAUGGAUGAAAGCGGGGGAUCGCAAGACCUCGCGCGAUUGGAGCGGCCGAUAUCAUAUUAGGUAGUUGGUGGGGUAAAGGCCCACCAAGCCAACGAUCUGUAGCUGGUCUGAGAGGACGACCAGCCACACUGAAACUGAGACACGGUCCAGACUCCUACGGGAGGCAGCAGUGGGGAAUGUUGGACAAUGGGCGAAAGCCUGAUCCAGCCAUUCCGCGUGCAGGAUGAAGGCCCUCGGGUUGUAAACUGCUUUUGUACAGAACGAAAAGGUUUCUACUAAUACUAGGAGCUCAUGACGGUACUGUAAGAAUAAGCACCGGCUAACUACGUGCCAGCCGCCGCAGUAA